ensembl:misc_RNA
CUGACAGCUCUGCAGACUGAAGUUCUGUUUAGCCACAGAACAGGCACAGCCUACGCAGUGACAAUGCAAGCUCCCCCACAUUGCCCUGUGGAUGGGUCCCAACACUGACCAAGAAGGACCACCAAUGUGGGUGAGAGCAGUUUAGUCACCAGGUGCCAUUCAAUCAAUCUUUGUC